rnacentral:rRNA from 1 species
GUGCCUAACACAUGCAAGUCGAACGCGAAAGUGGAGCAAUCCAUGAGUAGAGUGGCAAAGCGGGUGAGUAACGCGUGGGUGACCUGCCUUCGAGUGGGGGAUAACGUUCCGAAAGGGACGCUAAUACCGCAUGACAUUCUGCCUUUGAAGAGGCGGCAAUCAAAGCUGGGGAUCGCAAGACCUAGCACUCGAAGAGGGGCCCGCGUCCGAUUAGCUAGUUGGUGAGGUAACGGCUCACCAGGGCAACGAUCGGUAGCCGGCCUGAGAGGGCGGACGGACACACUGGGACUGAAACACGGGCCAG